AGUGAACGCUGGCGGUAGGCCUAACACAUGCAAGUCGAACGGCAGCACAGUAAGAGCUUGCUCUUACGGGUGGCGAGUGGCGGACGGGUGAGGAAUACAUCGGAAUCUACUUUUUCGUGGGGGAUAACGUAGGGAAACUUACGCUAAUACCGCAUACGACCUACGGGUGAAAGCAGGGGAUCUUCGGACCUUGCGCGAUUGAAUGAGCCGAUGUCGGAUUAGCUAGUUGGCGGGGUAAAGGCCCACCAAGGCGACGAUCCGUAGCUGGUCUGAGAGGAUGAUCAGCCACACUGGAACUGAGACACGGUGCAGACUCCUACGGGAGGCAGCAGUGGGGAAUAUUGGACAAUGGGCGGAAGCCUGAUCCAGCCAUACCGCGUGGGUGAAGAAGGCCUUCGGGUUGUAAAGACCUUUUGUUGGGAAAGAAGAGCAGCAGGUUAAUACGCCGCUGUUCUGACGGUACCCAAAGAAUAAGCACCGGCUAACUUCGUG
rnacentral:rRNA from 1 species